UACAGAGGCCUCGAGCGUUUAGGCGGAAUCACUGGGCUUAAAGCGUGUGUAGGCGGACCCCUAAGUACCUUGUGAAAUCCCACGGCUCACCCGUGGAACGGCUGGGUAUACUGGGGGGUCUUUGAGCCACCUAGGGGGCGAGUGGAACAAAUGGUGGAGCGGUGAAAUGCGUAGAUAUCAUUUGGAACGCCAAUGGUGAAAACAACUCGCUGGGGGUGUGCUGACGCUGAGACACGAAAGCCAGGGGAGCGAACGGG
rnacentral:rRNA from 1 species